GAUAAUUAGUUUAAAAAAAAACAAGUGAUUUCGACUCACUAGACUAUGAUCACAUUCAUAAUUAUCA
rnacentral:tRNA from 1 species